UGAGGAAUAUUGCCCAAUGGACGCAAGUCUGAGGCAGCGACGCCGCGCGGGUGAAGAAGGCCUUCGGGUCGUAAAGCCCUUUUCUGUGUGACGAGCAAGGACGGUAGCACAGGAAAAAGUCUCGGCUAACUACGUGCCAGCAGCCGCGGUAAAACGUAGGAGGCAAGCGUUAUCCGGAGUUACUGGGCGUAAAGCGUGCGUAGGCGGGUCGGUAAGUGGGUCGUGAAAGCGCCGGGCUAAACCGGGCGAGGACGAACUAGACUGCCGGUCUAGAGGCUGAUAGAGGGGUGCGGAAUUCCGGGUGUAGCGGUGAAAUGUGUAGAGAUCCGGAGGAACACCAGUGGUGCAAACGGCGCCCUGAGUCCGAACUGACGCUGAGGCACGAAAGCGUGGGGAGCGAACG
rnacentral:rRNA from 1 species